CACGGAGAGACACAUGCACGGAGAUAUGGAACGCGAACGGGGACAAAACAUAUAACGCGAAACGCGUGAAAUUUGGACGCGUCAACAUGACAAUUUUGUACGCGUAAAUACGAAGGUUGAGUUCGGGUGAUCGCGUCAGACCGUACACCAGCCAAUAGCGUUGCUCUGUUUAAGAUUAUAUUUGCAUUUGUGAUGCGAUGGCACGUUGCUAUAUACGUAUAUAAACAUCAGACGAACAUUUUUUGCGUGAGGGAUGAUGCGCUGUUAGGUGGAAAAGUUGAAUGCUCUCUAGGAUGGCUCUUAGAAGUUUUUUAUUAAACUGUCAAAGAACCUUUACGGACUGCAUUGGAUUGGCGUCCUCUUAUCACACAGAGGAUGAUUUGAAUAUUAUCAUAAACAGGUAUGUCCAAAAACAUUACAUUUAUAAGAUGGCUGACUUCAAGCAACUUGAAUGCCAUGCCAUCAUGGUUCAUUUCUUAAGGGUGUUGUCAUUGAGUUUAACAACAGCAAAUAUUCACAUUACAUUUUUUUACUAAACUAAACUUUACUGAUAACCUCUUUUCAAAACGCAACAUAUUUUUUAUUUGCCACUAGUAGUUAUGCAGUAUAUUUAACUAGCCUCAAAGUCUAAGCCAGAGUACCUAAUUAAUUAUGUUUAUGAACUACAGAAUGCAGACAAUGGCCAGAAGUGUGGUAUGGUCCAGAGUGCGACUCCUGGAUGCAGAAACAGCAAAUGCUAUCCUGGAUCGUGUGUCUGAAUUCCUGGAUAUUCUGGAAACUUUGCCUCAACUGCAAGUCCCCCAGGCUUACAGUGUUCCAUUGGUGAGGGGUCUACCUGGUCGUCCACAAUAUUCCAUUACACAGGAACAGUUGCGGUUUCUGCUGGAAUAUAAUUUUUCAACAAAACAGAUGGCAGAAAUCUUGGGAGUGUCCAAACGAACAGUAAAGCGACGUUUAAGGUGAGGUUAUUGUUCUCAGCAGUUUAUACUCUCCUUAUCCUGUUUCCUGCAUUGCUUCCUGUUUCCUGCAUCGCUGCCGGCAGCUUCGAGUAUACUACGAUCCAUCGAGCAACCUUGGUAAGUUGGAAUUGCACUUCAAAUCCGGUGAGUUAUGGCUUCUAUUCCUAUUAUUGUUACUUGCACCUCAUGUCAUAUGUUUAGCUUAGCCUUCUCUGUCAGCUGCGAGGGAUUUAUAUGCGAUAAAUGCAGGGAAAUAGUUAGGAUGACAGAGAAGAUCUUAGAAUUAGAGUCUCGCAUCCAAUCUUUAUCUGAGGAUAGUAAGAGUUUAACGACGAUAGAAAACACUUUGGAUGCGAGCAACAUUAGCGCACACAGCUCGGUUCUGGUUGAAAAUCCUCCGCAGCUGGUAAACUUUGUGACUGUGAGACGGCAUAGUCGCAGGACAAAACAUCACUCGACCGUUCCGAUUACAGUCUCGAACAGGUUUGCCCCGCUCAGUGAC